UCAACUCAUCAUUUCCCCCGAUCCUCAGCCCGGCGUCCACCAGCAGAGCCGCGACACCGCUGUGCUGGGCCGCGGCCCGGUACAGCGCCUCCGCCUCCCGAUCCGCCAGAUCGGGGACGAUCGAGCGCUGCCGCUUGAUUAUCCCCCUCAUCGAGUCCAGAUCCCCGCCGGAAACGGCGUGGGAGAGGAGGAAUUUCCCGACGAAGUAGACCUUCAGCUUCGCGUCGUAGAUCUGGAUCGGGACUGAGUCGACUCGGUCGAACCAGCGGUUGGCGAGUUGGGGGUGAGUCGACUCGGGAGAGUCGAGGGGGAGGUCCGGGGCGGGGGAAAUUUUGAGGAGGAAGCGGUCGGAGGGGGAGCGGGGGAAGGAGGGGGGUGGGUGGGGCUGGGGUUUGAGGACGAUUUGGAAGGAGGCGGAGGAGAGAGGGGGGACGAGGCCGGUUGGGGGAUUGACGAGGAAUUUGUGGGGGGAGGAGGUUUGGAGCUUGAAGGCUAAGGGGGCGGAGGGGAGGAGGGAUUUAAGGCGGAUUGUGGUGCGGCAUUUGGUGUUUGGGGAGAAGUCGAUGAGGAUUUCUUGGUCAGAGAGCUGGACGAGUUUCUCCAUUGAAGAAGAAGAAGAUGAAUUCUCAUUUUUUUUUUGUUGCAGAGAGCAAGUGUGUAUACUUCCAAUUAGAUUGAUUUGUUAGGCUAAUUUGAAUUUUGUGGUUAAGAUUUUGGCUUAGUUGUUUGUAGUAGCAUGUGUUUUGAUGAAAAUGGAUUAAAAAGUUUUUUUAAAAAAUUGUGUUUCGGCUUGGGAAUUUUACAAUUGAUGUUUUUAUCUUCGUUACUUUAUUUUGUUUUUCGAUCUUUCUUUACUAGUAAAAUGAAAAGUGUUUAGGAGUAGUAGUUAAUUACUUGGAGAUAUUACGAAAACUUUAUUUUGGUUUUUGAUUUUUUUUAUUUGUAAAAUUAAAAUAGAUGAUAUUUAACAUGUAACAUAAAAAAAUUUAGGCUAUCUUACAUGAAAUAUAGGUUUAAUAACUACGUGAAGUGGUUUUAAUAGUGAUGUCAAGAGAUAGCCAUCCGUAUAAUGAUAAAGAAUUUAUGAAUAAUCAAGAAGAGAUGUGUUGUUAUGGUCGUUACGUUAUUAAUAUCAAGAAAGAUAGAUUUACAAAAUUAUGAUAAAUUUGGCCUCGAAAUAGUAAUCUUAAUUCAUCAUAAAUUAUAUGAUUGCAUAAAAAUUGUAUUCUAAAAAAAGAGAGACUUAUGUGAGCGAGCACUCACAUGGGCACAUAACAUCUUACUCUAAAUCCGACCCGAGUAGGAGACGGCAGUGAGGGUGGAGAAGUUUCGGGAGAGGAGAAGAUGGACCCAAAAUAUUUUUUCUAUCCCAUUAAAAAUGAAAUAUAUAUAUAUUUUUAAUUAUUAACUAAAAUAACAUAUUUUCUAAAAUAAAAAUAAUAUUAAUAUUAUCUUUACUUUAUCCUUCCCUUAUUUUAUUUUCUCUUUAGUUAAAUCACGAAAUAGCACUGCAUAAAGUGGGAUAAGCUAAUUCUAAGGGCCUGUUCACUCUCAUGGUUUUUUUAAUGGCCGUGAGAUAAAUAUGUGGCUGAAUUAGGUGGUGGGCUCCACCUGAACAGAAUUUAGUAUGCAUGUUCAGUGAACAUGAAAUGGUGACUAGUUUAAAAACUAUUGCCUCUUUCAACAUGUCAUUUUACCAAAUAGCCCUCACCAUAUCUUCAACAUUCCCUGAUCAACACUUCUGAAAAACUUAGCAGCGGGAAACGAAAAUGUCAAAUUUGAGUCCAAUCCCACCCAAUUAUUUUGGGUAAAAAGGCUGGAUGGAAGCAAAAAUAAACGAGAGUCUUUACUUCUACAAAACCUCAUUGAGCGGCGAAAGGUACGACGAAAUCUCCCAAUCAUCUGAGGUGCUAGCAAAAGGUGCGAGCGGGCACCUCCCCGUGCGGAGAGGCGUUCUUGAAUCUGAGUUUCUAUUACGGUACUAUGUCUACUUCAAUCGGUGCAGGUGUGACUAUUAGAGGAGGCACAAGUGAAGGUUUUUUUUUAUUCAAAGAAUAUUUGCUGUUUGAUGAGCUUUGUGUGUGUCAUCCAUGCUGUAAUGAAAUUUUGUUUGUAUGUCCUUUUCUUCGUCAAGACAACAAUGUAUCAGGUCGAAAAAAAUUCCGCAAGGGCGACCGAUCUCGCAGGAUUUGGAUUGCACGCGAAGAAGAAAUUCUGGCUGCAUCGUUGGUAGAACUUGUGGCCCGUGGGUGGAAAUCAGAUUUGUGCAUCACCAUACAAUUCAUGCCUUCAUUUAUGAAGGUGUGGCCACCGCCCUAGUGGUGAGUUGGAACCGUUGGAGCUUGCGUUCGAUGCCCGGUCAAAUUUCUUCACAUUAGACUCAUUCAUUGGAUGAUCCUUAGGUAGUACCCGGCCACUCUCUAGUCUCGUACGUAGCUUUCCAUCCGGCCCAACGUCAAUGAAAUAUAUGCCCGGCUCAGUUGUUGACUCCCUGUCCGAGGGUCCGUCUAAGUCGAGCUCAACUUCUACAGGAUCCACUUCCAUCUCCCGUCGGAUGAAGUUAUGUAGUAAGAAGCAAGCCAUUAUAAGGCGUAUCUGUGUUUUUAUUGGGUAAAAGGAUGCACUUCGUAGGAUACCCCAUCGCAUUUUUAACACUGCAAACG